AGUCGAACGGCAGCGCGGGAGCAAUCCUGGCGGCGAGUGGCGAACGGAUGAGUAAUACAUCGGAACAUGUCCAGUAGUGGGGGAUAGCCCGGCGAAAGCCGGAUUAAUACCGCAUACGAUCUACGGAUGAAAGCGGGGGAUCGCAAGACCUCGCGCUAUUGGGGUGGCCGAUGGCGGAUUAGCUAGUUGGUGGGGUAAAGGCCUACCAAGGCGACGAUCCGUAGCUGGUCUGAGAGGACGACCAGCCACACUGGGACUGAGACACGGCCCAGACUCCUACGGGAGGCAGCAGUGGGGAAUUUUGGACAAUGGGCGAAAGCCUGAUCCAGCAAUGCCGCGUGUGUGAAGAAGGCCUUCGGGUUGUAAAGCACUUUUGUCCGGAAAGAAAUCCUGAUGGCUAAUAUCCGUCGGGGAUGACGGUACCGGAAGAAUAAGCACCGGCUAACUACGUGCCAGCAGCCGCGGUAAUACGUAGGGUGCGAGCGUUAAUCGGAAUUACUGGGCGUAAAGCGUGCGCAGGCGGUGAUGUAAGACCGAUGUGAAAUCCCCGGGCUUAACCUGGGAACUGCAUUGGUGACUGCAUCGCUAGAGUAUGGCAGAGGGGGGUAGAAUUCCACGUGUAGCAGUGAAAUGCGUAGAGAUGUGGAGGAAUACCGAUGGCGAAGGCAGCCCCCUGGGCCAAUACUGACGCUCAUGCACGAAAGCGUG
rnacentral:rRNA from 1 species